CCGACGGGACUGGGUUAUUCGAGCACGCGCAGAACCUUACCAGCCCUUGACAUCCCGGUCGCGGUUACCAGAGAUGGUUUCCUUCAGUUCGGCUGGACCGGAGACAGGUGCUGCAUGGCUGUCGUCAGCUCGUGUCGUGAGAUGUUGGGUUAAGUCCCGCAACGAGCGCAACCCUCGCCCUUAGUUGCCAUCAUUCAGUUGGGCACUCUAAGGGGACUGCCGGUGAUAAGCCGAGAGGAAGGUGGGGAUGACGUCAAGUCCUCAUGGCCCUUACGGGCUGGGCUACACACGUGCUACAAUGGUGGUGACAGUGGGCAGCGAGACCGCGAGGUCGAGCUAAUCUCCAAAAGCCAUCUCAGUUCGGAUUGCACUCUGCAACUCGAGUGCAUGAAGUUGGAAUCGCUAAAAUUCACGCAUCACCAUGACACGGUGAAUACUUCUCCGGGCUUUGUACACUCCCAAAGUAAGGGCUUCCCCCGCUCAUGCAGAACAUUUGAGUG
rnacentral:rRNA from 1 species